UACAGAGGGGGCAAGCGUUAUUCGGAAUUAUUGGGCGUAAAGGGCGCGUAGGCGGCUUGGCAAGUGGAAGGUGAAAUCCCUCGGCUUAACCGAGGAACUGCCCUCCAAACUGCUUAGCUUGAGACCGGGAGAGGUGAGUGGAAUUCCCAGUGUAGCGGUGAAAUGCGUAGAUAUUGGGAGGAACACCAGUGGCGGAGGCGGCUCACUGGACCGGUACUGACGCUGAUGCGCGAAAGCGUGGGGAGCAAACGGG
rnacentral:rRNA from 1 species